UACACACCGCCCGUCAAGCCAUGGGAGUCGGGAGGACCUGAAGUGCCUGAGCCAACCGCAAGGAGGCAGGGCCCCAAGGAGUGAUCGGUAACUGGGGUG
rnacentral:rRNA from 1 species